UACAGAGGAGCCAAGCGUUGUCCGGAUUGACUGGGCGUAAAGCGCACGCAGGCGGAUGCGCGCGUGGGGUGUGAAAUCUGGCCGCUUAACGGCCAGGCGCCAUCCCAUACGGCGCGUCUGGAGUGAUGCAGAGGUCGAUGGAAUUGCCGGUGUAGUGGUGAAAUGCGCAGAUAUCGGGAGGAACACCGGUGGCGAAGGCGGUUCUCUGGGCCUGACCUGACGCUGAGGAGCGAAAGCGUGGGGAGCGAACAGG
rnacentral:rRNA from 1 species